UCAGUUAAUGUCAGCAUCCCAUCCACAAGAUACAAUACAGAGUCUCUAUGCCCUGUGGAAAUUGGGAGAAUGCAUUCUUUCAUCAGUCUUCACAAAGUGCUCACAACUGGGAAAAAACAAAGAACAGAAAUAGUCACUGACUUUGGAACAGAGAUGAGGAAAUAAGAGGGACAUUAACUGCCAUCAAAGAAGCAGGACUUUUGUCAUCUCUGGAAAUAUUCUUUCACAUUUUACCAAGAUGAUUUCAGGAAAUGUCCAACAGUAGUAGUAACACGAAGGAACAGCUCUGUAAGUUCACUUUGCAAGACUAUGUGAACUGUCUUGGUUUCUUUCAAAUGCCUGUACAUCAUAUACCUGCUGGCAAUAAAGCUGUAAAUUAACAAGG